rnacentral:rRNA from 1 species
GAUGAACGCUAGCUACAGGCUUAACACAUGCAAGUCGAGGGACAGCAUGGUCUUAGCUUGCUAAGGCCGAUGGCGACCGGCGCACGGGUGAGUAACACGUAUCCAACCUGCCGUCUACUCUUGGACAGCCUUCUGAAAGGAAGAUUAAUACAAGAUGGCAUCAUGAGUCCGCAUGUUCACAUGAUUAAAGGUAUUCCGGUAGACGAUGGGGAUGCGUUCCAUUAGAUAGUAGGCGGGGUAACGGCCCACCUAGUCUUCGAUGGAUAGGGGUUCUGAGAGGAAGGUCCCCCACAUUGGAACUGAGACACGGUCCAAACUCCUACGGGAGGCAGCAGUGAGGAAUAUUGGUCAAUGGGCGAGAGCCUGAACCAGCCAAGUAGCGUGAAGGAUGACUGCCCUAUGGGUUGUAAACUUCUUUUAUAAAGGAAUAAAGUCGGGUAUGGAUACCCGUUUGCAUGUACUUUAUGAAUAAGGAUCGGCUAACUCCGUGCCAGCAGCCGCGGUAAUACGGAGGAUCCGAGCGUUAUCCGGAUUUAUUGGGUUUAAAGGGAGCGUAGAUGGAUGUUUAAGUCAGUUGUGAAAGUUUGCGGCUCAACCGUAAAAUUGCAGUUGAUACUGGAUAUCUUGAGUGCAGUUGAGGCAGGCGGAAUUCGUGGUGUAGCGGUGAAAUGCUUAGAUAUCACGAAGAACUCCGAUUGCGAAGGCAGCCUGCUAAGCUGCAACUGACAUUGAGGCUCGAAAGUGUGGGUAUCAAACAGGAUUAGAUACCCUGGUAGUCCACACGGUAAACGAUGAAUACUCGCUGUUCGCGAUAUACUGCAAGCGGCCAAGCGAAAGCGUUAAGUAUUCCACCUGGGGAGUACGCCGGCAACGGUGAAACUCAAAGGAAUUGACGGGGGCCCGCACAAGCGGAGGAACAUGUGGUUUAAUUCGAUGAUACGCGAGGAACCUUACCCGGGCUUAAAUUGCAGAUGAAUUACGGUGAAAGCCGUAAGCCGCAAGGCAUCUGUGAAGGUGCUGCAUGGUUGUCGUCAGCUCGUGCCGUGAGGUGUCGGCUUAAGUGCCAUAACGAGCGCAACCCUUGUUGUCAGUUACUAACAGGUUCCGCUGAGGACUCUGACAAGACUGCCAUCGUAAGAUGUGAGGAAGGUGGGGAUGACGUCAAAUCAGCACGGCCCUUACGUCCGGGGCUACACACGUGUUACAAUGGGGGGUACAGAGGGCCGCUACCACGCGAGUGGAUGCCAAUCCCCAAAACCUCUCUCAGUUCGGACUGGAGUCUGCAACCCGACUCCACGAAGCUGGAUUCGCUAGUAAUCGCGCAUCAGCCACGGCGCGGUGAAUACGUUCCCGGGCCUUGUACACACCGCCCGUCAAGCCAUGGGAGCCGGGGGUACCUGAAGUGCGUAACCGCGAGGAGCGCCCUAGGGUAAAACUGGUGACUGGGGCUAAGUC